rnacentral:rRNA from 1 species
UGUGACCUCAAAUCAGGUAGGACUACCCGCUGAACUUAAGCAUAUCAAUAAGCGGAGGAAAAGAAACUAACAAGGAUUCCCCUAGUAACUGCGAGUGAAGCGGGAAAAGCUCAAAUUUAAAAUCUGUCAGUCUUUGGCUGUCCGAGUUGUAAUCUAGAGAAGUGUUAUCCGCGCUGGACCGUGUACAAGUCUCCUGGAAUGGAGCGUCAUAGAGGGUGAGAAUCCCGUCUUUGACACGGACUGCCAGGGCUUUGUGAUGCGCUCUCAAAGAGUCGAGUUGUUUGGGAAUGCAGCUCAAAAUGGGUGGUAAAUUCCAUCUAAAGCUAAAUAUUGGCGAGAGACCGAUAGCGAACAAGUACCGUGAGGGAAAGAUGAAAAGAACUUUGGAAAGAGAGUUAAACAGUACGUGAAAUUGCUGAAAGGGAAACGCUUGAAGUCAGUCGCGUUGUCCAGGGAUCAACCUUGCUUUUGCUUGGUGUACUU